rnacentral:lncRNA from 1 species
GGGAACACACUUCUCUGUUAACAUAAAAAUACAUACCAUUUAACUUCCUCUGUAAAAUUCUAUUCAAUUUACAUGAAUUUUAUUUGAAAAAUGUGAGUUAUAGUGCUCUAUAUUAGAAAAUAGUAAAAACUCAAAUACAUUAAUUAGGAAUUAUGUUUUUAAGGAAAUGGACUUUUGUGCAAUAAUGCAAUGAUACACAGAUUAUUUCUAACAGUAUUCUGCUUUUUUCUGAAUUAUAAGUUACUUGAUUAUUACUAAUGUAAUUGAACUAGUUGGCUUGUGAAAAGAAUAUGAAAAAGCAAGAAGAUUACUAGUUUUUGAGUAUCUAUAAUGUACAAGACAUGAGCUAGGUUAAUAUAUAUAUAUGUAUUUGAUUAAUUUUUCCUUAAAUUUCUCAAGGUAGGGAUUUUUACUACAUUUUUAAAUGCCAUUUUUUGUUUAGACAACGUCCUCUUACAGGACUUCAUUUUCCAAGCAAUAGCAUAUGUUAAAGAUUAGGUAGAAGAGUGGGUAAAUUUACUUAGUUCUCUGUUGCCCCAUGGGCACGUGAGCUGAAAACAUAUUUUUUAAUCUACACAUUACCUAGCUUCUUUGACUUGAAAGAGUUGAAAUAAAUAUAUAACAUGAAUGUUCAUUUUUUUACACUAGUUAUAGCUCACUAAAUCUUAAUAAAUGAAGUCUGCUGUUAAUGUUAGCAGAAUAUAUACCUUAUCUCCUUAAGUCAACAUUGCUGGACUAUUUCAUGAGUUUUGAAUACCCAACUUCACAUUUGAAACAGCAUUAGUCAACAAAAGCAUCCACUUAUCAAGACACUUUAGGUUUGCAACAUAUGUUCAUUAUUUACCUUCCUAAGCACUCAGCUUCUUUCAAAGGCCCUGACAAGCCAAAUAAACCAGUUAUUCCUCAUGCAGGAGAAUGUGUGAGCAUGGCUUUUGUUCUUUCAAUUGCAAGAGAUACGUGGAAAAAAAGAUUUCUUGAGAGAUUUGUGAGGUGCAGGUUUUAUUUGAUAAUCAGACACCACUUUAACUGAAUGGAAAAGAAAUGUACAGCACUUUCUAUCGUUUAUGCAAUCUUUUUGCCCUCUUUAUCCCAAAAUGAGCAGUAAAAUUAAUUGAGGAAUUCAUAAAGUUAAUUAAGAAGUUCAUAAAGAUGGCAUGGCAAAGGCUUUUGACUUCAGUUGUUUUCAAUUCUGGAGUAAUGAAUAAUUCUAAUGUACUCAAAUAUUUUUUAACUGGUGAUAAUUAUUAGUAUUUAUUUGUGUUCUAAAAGUUGGUUUAUUUUCACGUUUGUUGGUAGGUUUAAAAGGGCACGCAUUUGUCAGUGAUCACAUUUUACAGAGUGCCGAGGACCAGGCUAUAUAAUUUGGUUUAUUGAAAGCCAGCAGGACACCGUGUAAUUUUAGAAGCUCAAUGUGCUAUUGUUGAUGACUAUUAUGAUGAUGGUUGAUGUAUUUUUUUUAUUAUCUGUACAACACUAAUAAUAUCUUAUUGCUUUAAUUUUUCAAUGCAACAAAAUAAAUGUUAACAGACAGCCAUAUGGAAUACAUUAUAUUAUGUACAAUAUGUGCAAAAACAUUUACAAAGUAUCUUUUUUUGGAGACGGAGUCUUGCUCUGUCCCUUAGGCUGGAGUGCAGUGGCGCGAUCUCAGCUCACUGCAAGCUCCACCUCCCGGGUCCACGCCAUUCUCCUGCCUCAGCCUCCCGAGUAGCUGGGACUACAGGUGCCCGCCAACACGCCCGGCUAAUUUUUUAUAUUUUUAGUAGAGAUGGGGUUUCACCGUGUUAGCCAGGAUGGUCUCGAUCUCCUGACCUCGUGAUCCGCCCGUCUCGGCCUCCCAAAGUGCUGGGAUUACAGGCAUGAGCCACCGUGCCCGGCCUACAAAGUAUCUUAAAAAUUAAAAAUAACAAAAUAAUACAUAGAUCUAACAACAUACUGAAAAAACAAAUAUACUCUCAAGGCAUGAACUUUAUUGUUUUUGCUAUUUUUAUUAUAGAGUAUCUGUCUCUUGGCUUCCUGAGAAUCUGUCGUGAUUAAAUAGUGAAUGAAAGAAACUGAAUGGAAUUUUCUGUACCAUUGUGCCCAGAAUUGGUUCCUUCCGGUGGGUUCUUUGUCUCGCUGACUUCAAGAAUGAAGCUGUGGAUCCUCGUGGUGAGUGUUACAGUUCUUAGAGAUGGUGUGUCUGGAGUUUGUUCCUUCAGACGUUCAGAUGUGUCCAGAGUUCCUUCCUUUGGGUGUGUUCAUGGUCUUGCUGACUUCAGGAAUGAAACCACAGACCUUCACAGUGAGUGUUACAGCUCUUAAAGGUGGCAUGUCUGAAGUUGUUUGUUCCCCCCCUGGGUGGGUUCGUGGUCUGACUUCAGGAGUGAAGCUGCAUACCUUCACAGUGAGUGUUACAGCUCAUAAAGGUAGUACAGAUCCAAAGAGGGAGCAAAAUGUACUGUGAAGAGUGAAAGAACAAAGCUUCCACAGCGUGGAAGGGGACCGGAGUGGGUUGCCACUCCUGGCUCUGGUGGCCAGCUUUUAUUCCCUUAUUUGGCCCUGCCC